GACGAACGCUGGCGGCGUGCUUAACACAUGCAAGUCGAACGAGACGAUUUAGAAGCUUGCUUUUAUUGAGUCGAGUGGCAAACGGGUGAGUAACGCGUAGACAACCUGCCGCAAAGAUGGGGACAACAGUCCGAAAGGACUGCUAAUACCGAAUGUUGUAUCUCCUCCGCAUGGAAGAGAUAUUAAAGAUGGCCUCUACUUGUAAGCUAUCGCUUUGCGAUGGGUCUGCGUCUGAUUAGCUAGUUGGUGGGGCAACGGGCCUACCAAGGCGACGAUCAGUAGCCGGUCUGAGAGGAUGAACGGCCACAUUGGAACUGAGACACGGUCCAGACUCCUACGGGAGCAGCAGUGGGAAUCUUCCGCAAUGGACGAAAGUCUGACGGAGCAACGCCGCGUGAACGAUGACGG
rnacentral:rRNA from 1 species